rnacentral:lncRNA from 1 species
CCCCAGUCCCUAGUCUGGUUUUCAGAGAAGAGACACUGUGUUGGGCAAGCAGGCAGCUGGGGGGGGGGGGGGUGUCUGCCCAGGAGGCCUGGAGCUGGAGGGGGCAGCUGCAGAGGGAGCUGGAAAUUGGGGGGGGGGGAAGGGUUGUGCAGAGGAUGGAGCAGGCUCCACCUUCUUGCCUUUCGGGGACCGGCCAAGGCUGGAGCUUUGAGCUGCUGAGACAGACCACCUGCACAGGGAACAUGCAUCUCCUUUAAAGAUAAUAGGAAGAAAGAGGCUUGGCAUGGAGCAAGCUACUUAAGGACUAUUUAGGAAGAGACCUCCACAUGAAGGUGUUGGGAAGAACAGCACAUUGAAUAGUGACAUCCCUACGACAUGCCUCUCCAGGUGGUGCGACAUGCCUCUUCUCUUACCCAGGGCGCCUUGCCUCAUUAUCUCCCCCCCACCCCCCCUUUGAGUCACAGGAAGAAGAUGUGACUUUGAGAAACUGGUCUUCAAACUGGAGAGAGAGAGAGAGGGGCAUCUAGUCGAUUCUAACAAUUGAUCUUACAAGGAGUCGAGGAAGAAGGAGGAGGAAGAGAAAGGUAAAGGCAGAGGAGGAGGAAGAAAGAAAAGAGGAAGAGGAGGGGGAAGAAAAAGAAGAAAGAAAAAGGGAGGAAGGGAAAGGAAGGAGAAAUAGGUCCAGUCUGGCCGGGUCUGCAAAGGAGAUGUGCUUCAAGGACGGCGAUUGUUAUGGUCUUAAUGUUUGUGUCUCCUUAAAAUCCACACGCUGGAAGGAACCUUUGGCCCUAAAGAUGGCAGUACAGAGAUGUUGGGCCUUCUGUGGGUGGUUUGGUCAUGAAGACAGAACUGCCCUCAUUCCCAGCUGGACUAGCACUCUUAUAAAACAAGCUCCAAGACCUGUUUGCCUUCCCUCCCAUGUGAGCUGAUUAUGACAAAGGAAGUAGGGCCCAGCCAGACCCCCACCCCCACCCCGAACCUUGAUCUCGGACUUCUCUGAAACUGUGAGGAAUAAAUGUUUAUUUGUGAGUAA